CCUCAUUUUUUUUUUCACGGUGUCAGGUAAGUGUGUGCAUUGUUUACUUUAUCUUUUUUAAAAGGUGAAGCGAGGGAAAAAUAAAAAGUGAGCGUGGCUCGCCUGAGCACUAAUACAUUGCAUUUAUUGGUGGGUGGGGGAGGGGUAAGAGCUUGGCCACGGUCUUGAGUCCACGAAGCAGCCGCGGAGCUUUGUGAAGGACAAGAUGGCGAUGGCGGGCCGUGCCGGCGGCCCUCUCUGUGAUGAGAACCUUUUCACAGACCUGUACUGAGCUCCGUGAGGAUAAGAAACUCUGAAGAGACGGGCCUUGCACAGCCGAAGUGCGACACAGUCGUAGCUCCGGCGGACAAAACGAUUGUGAAAAAGCCGGUGUUGGUUUAAUGUCCUCUUGUCUGCAGGGUUCAGGCGCACGUCUGAACGCUAGAAUGGAAAAGAGCCGACCUGCUAGGAUGUGGUUCAACUCAAAAGACCUUACGGGUUGGAGGAUGGGACAAGACCCAUCCCUGCAAAGUAAGCAUUCUAGUGAUGCUCCAGCAUCUCCUCCCCAAGCCUGAGGAAUCCAGCUGCCUCCAAGGGUGAAGACAGGUAAUUUUUUGACCAAAUGAGGGGAUUGGAGUGUCCUCUCCUGUUUGGCCUACAACCAGGAGAGCAAAAUGAGCAGUUUUGCCUUUUUGCUUCUUGCAGCUUAUUCCUCUUAGAAUGACUUUCCUGCGGAGGGAAAGAGCAACCCAACAGUACAGUUAAUUCUUGAGAUGGUGUGCUCUCUCUCACCCAUAUGUCACUGUCAGAUGAUUUGAAUAGAUAUGCUGAUCCUCUGUGAGGUACAACAAUUAAUAGCAUGUUAGAGUUCUGAUGGCAGUUUCUAUUAAUGAAGAAACUUUGUUCUAGCCUAGUAUUUUUUGAUAACCAUCUGGUCUCCUUUUGCAGGUCGUCCUGAUGGUGGUAAUAUGUUGAUUUACCUUAUGGUGAGUAGCUUCUCCCAAUACUGUCGUUUUGUUAGUGUAUAUGUGAACCCAUCAAAGGGUGAUUUUUUUUUUUUUUUUUUCAUCGUGUGGUUUUUAUUUGUCUUGUCGUUGUGACCAAAGACUUGACCAGCCCGUAUAGAUUUCUGGUUCUUUUUCCUUGUAGUGAUGUUUCUUGAUCUAUUUCUCUAGAUGCCCACUGAUGUGCUCAGGGUCGAACUUGUGGAAAGAGUUAAGGAUGGUGAGUACUUGUAACCUUGCUGAUUACAGCUUGCCCCAGACUAUAAUGCCAAUGAAGAGAGCAAGCAUCCUGUCUUACCCCUGUUCUAGCCCCAGAGCCAGUAAUGGUGAACCCACUGGGGCUAACUGGGUGAGAGGAUGAGAAUUUGUUCCAUAAGGAACUGUCUGAGGUACAGCGUAUCCCUGUCAAUAGUAUUUGCUUGGGUUUUCUUCACUUAAACCCAUUAAUUAUAUAGCUAGAAUAGCUUUGGCUGUUUUAGAUACUUGCUUGGCUAAUUACAUGAUCUUCUUCAGGAGCAGCUUGUUCGUGUAUACUACCAAAAGGCCUCCAAGUUAACAGGUUAGUUGGUUAAUGUCUGUGGUUCAUGCCACCAAAUAGGCAAGUUUCCAUGAUGAAUAAAACUAGCUCACUAUGACUCCACAAUGAAAACAUGUGAACACCUGAGAAACUGGAAAAAGUAGGAAUGCGGGGGAUGCCACGUGGAAGGACUUUUCAUUACCCACAGCUUUGUCUUUCUCUAGGUAUGGUUACCCAUAACCUGCUCAUUUGCUCAGAGGUUCAGCACCUUCUCUGGAGCCCAAGAAUGAUUUGAGGUACCCUCAGCUAUUUCUCCGUUCAGCUCCAGUCUGAAGUCAGGUCUGAAGAAGGAACAAGGCAUAGGUAAUGGACAGGGAGACGGAAUCCCAAGUAGACCUCCUGCUGUCCAGUGCAGAGCCCAACGCAGGACUUGAACUCUGAAACUGAGAUAACCUGAACUGGAAUCAAUGGUUCGACAUAUAACAGACUGAGCCAAUGAGGUGCCCCUAAAAAAAAUUUUCUUAAGUCAAUGCUAAAAGGCUUACUUUGGCCAAUUAUUGUGUUUAUCCUGUUGGUGUAAAUAUAACUUGAUGAGAAU